CUUUUAAAGGAUAAUAGUUAUCCAUUGGUCUUAGGAACCAAAUACUCCU
rnacentral:tRNA from 1 species